UAACCUUGUGGUCGUGGGUUC
rnacentral:siRNA from 1 species